GACGAACGCUGGCGGCGUGCUUAACACAUGCAAGUCGAGCGAGGCCCACACCUUCGGGUGUGGUGCCCUAGCGGCGAACGGGUGAGUAACACGUGAGCAAUCUGCCCUUGACUCUGGGAUACGCGCUGGAAACGGCGUCUAAUACCGGAUACGACCCUCGGCGGCAUCUCCUGUGGGUGGAAAGAACUUCGGUCAAGGAUGAGCUCGCGGCCUAUCAGCUUGUUGGUGAGGUAAUGGCUCACCAAGGCGACGACGGGUAGCCGGCCUGAGAGGGUGACCGGCCACACUGGGACUGAGACACGGCCCAGACUCCUACGGGAGGCAGCAGUGGGGAAUAUUGCACAAUGGGCGCAAGCCUGAUGCAGCAACGCCGCGUGAGGGACGACGGCCUUCGGGUUGUAAACCUCUUUUAGCAGGGAAGAAGCGAGAGUGACGGUACCUGCAGAAAAAGCACCGGCUAACUACGUGCCAGCCGCCGCCGUAAGAC
rnacentral:rRNA from 1 species